rnacentral:rRNA from 1 species
AGUGAACGCUGGCGGCAGGCCUAAUACAUGCAAGUCGAACGGCAGCACAGCAGCGCUUGCUCUGUGGGUGGCGAGUGGCGGACGGGUGAGGAAUACAUGGGAAUCUGCCCAGUCGUGGGGGAUAACGUAUGGAAACGUACGCUAAUACCGCAUGCGCCCUUUGGGGGAAAGCCGGGGACCUUCGGGCCUGGCGCGAUUGGAUGAGCCCAUGUUCGAUUAGCUAGUUGGCGGGGUAAAGGCCCACCAAGGCGACGAUCGAUAGCUGGUCUGAGAGGAUGAUCAGCCACACUAGGACUGAGACACGGCCCAGACUCCUACGGGAGGCAGCAGUAGGGAAUAUUGGACAAUGGGCGCAAGCCUGAUCCAGCCAUGCCGCGUGAGUGAAGAAGGCCCUCGGGUUGUAAAGCUCUUUUGUCCGGAAAGAAAAGCAUUCGGUUAAUACCCGGGUGUUCUGACGGUACCGGAAGAAUAAGCACCGGCUAACUUCGUG